CCAUAGCGACUAUCGUGGCAUAUCAAUAAGCGGAGGAAAAGAAACUAACUAAGGAUUCCCUCAGUAACGGCGAGUGAAGCGGGAAGAGCUCAAAUUUGAAAUCUUCAAGGUUCUACCUUGACGAAUUGUAGUUUAAAGAAGUGUUUUCUGUUGAAGUUUUGGUAAAAGUUCUUUGGAAUAGGACAUCAUAGAGGGUGAGAAUCCCGUAUUUGACCAUUACUUUCCAGCUGUGUGAUACACUUUCAAAGAGUCGGAUUGUUUGGGAAUGCAGUCCAAAAUGGGUGGUAAAUUUCAUCUAAAGCUAAAUAUUGGCGAGAGACCGAUAGCGAACAAGUACCGUGAGGGAAAGAUGAAAAGAACUUUGAAAAGAGAGUUAAACAGUACGUGAAAUUGUCAAAAGGGAAGCGUUUGACACCAGUGUUGUUUAGUUGAAAAUCAAUUCAAUAAUUUUUGAUUUUAAGUAGUAUUGACUUCAUCAGCUUGCUGCUUUCCUUUCAGGAAUUAUUGAAUGCACUUUUCAGUUAACAAGUCAACAUCAAUUUCUUUUGUUGUAAAAGGGUAAGAGGAAGGUGGCUUACGUUUCGGCGUAAGUGUUUAUAGCCUUUUACCUCUGCAAUCGGAGAGAUUGAGGACAGCAGCGUAGACUCCUUCUGGGGUUAGAUACACUUGUGCUAAGCUAUAGCCUUGUAUAGACAACUUGUUGACUAUGCUCAGUCAUGUAGCUUACUCGCUUGUGCUAUUUUACCUACGCUUAGGAUGUUGACGAGACUGUCGAUCUC
rnacentral:rRNA from 1 species